UUCCCCUGGCAAGGGGCAAAGAGAUACUUUGUUGUUGGUGCUGUUCUUAUAUCAGUGAGGGGCAGAGCAAAAAGGCAGUUAGUUGUUUAUCCUAGCUUGAUGCCUGGUUUGGUGGCCAAAAGUAUUUUAUGCCUAAGACUCAUAA